GAAAAAACUGAACAAAUUGAGAAUACAUGUAUGACUCAAACAGAAUAUAAAGAUAUCUAUGCAACACCAGUCAACCAGUCAGUAAAAAGUCAACUUUUCUGCACUACUAACCUGGUAAAAACCAGCCCCUUGUCCUUUGCUUUGCUUCGUGGGACUGGACUCUCUGCUAUUGAGAAGUGAUUGCUUGCUGGAGGCGUGGACUCUGUUGAAGUUUAAAACGAUUGGAUCUGAUUUACCCAAUCGCUAACGGUUGGCUGCGACGUAUACAGUGCGACAGCUCCACUGUGAAGGAGGCUAACUGGAAAAUGCUUGCACUGUGAAAAACCCUACUGUGGACUGGACGCUUCGCAAAUUUCAGAGACAUCUGCAGACGAGUCACCUUCAACAAGUGACCAGCUGAGCUCCCGGACCGCUGCUCCACAUUCUCUGACAUAGAUCGGUACCGGCUGCCUCUCUAUCUGGGUCGAAGCAGCCAGAGACUGGGCAGCUACAGAACAGGAGAGCUGCUCCUGUUACAUUCGGACUUUAAAGUAGUUUUUUAAAUGUAGUUAAAUGUUGUCUGAAUUUUAUUUUGUGCAAUAAAGACACUGUCGGCAA